UUCCUACGGGGGGCAGCAGUGGGGAAUAUUGCACAAUGGGGGGAACCCUGAUGCAGCGACGCCGCGUGAGUGAAGAAGUAUUUCGGUAUGUAAAGCUCUAUCAGCAGGGAAGAAAAUGACGGUACCUGACUAAGAAGCCCCGGCUAACUACGUGCCAGCAGCCGCGGUAAUACGUAGGGGGCAAGCGUUAUCCGGAUUUACUGGGUGUAAAGGGAGCGUAGACGGCGAUGCAAGUCAGAAGUGAAAGCCCGCGGCUCAACUGCGGGACUGCUUUUGAAACUGUAUAGCUUGAGUGCAGGAGAGGG
rnacentral:rRNA from 1 species